UUACGGCCACAUUACGUUGAAACAUUGGUUCCUGUACGACCACCGAAGUUAAGCAACGUUGAGCAUGGUCAGUACCCAGAUGGGUGGCCGCUUGGGAAGACCAGGUGCU